rnacentral:rRNA from 1 species
UACGGAGGGGGCUAGCGUUGUUCGGAAUUACUGGGCGUAAAGCGUACGUAGGCGGAUACGCAAGUUGGGGGUGAAAUCCCGGGGCUUAACCUCGGAAUUGCCCUCAAAACUGUGUGUCUUGAGGCCGAGAGAGGUAAGGGGAAUUCCUAGUGUAGAGGUGAAAUUCGUAGAUAUUAGGAAGAACACCAGUGGCGAAGGCGCCUUACUGGCUCGGUACUGACGCUGAGGUACGAAAGCGUGGGGAGCAAACAGG